rfam:Planktothrix serta PCC 8927 isolate BBR_PRJEB10992 genome assembly, scaffold: BBR_A_PL8927_scaffold60
GUCAGCACCCCGCUCUGAAGAGACGGGGCUUCAUGCCUCUCCUUUGGAUAGCUCGUACCCGCCUAAGCCUUAACGGGCUACGUUAUCGGGAAGCGUUAAAGUUCUUACCUUGGGAUGCGAAGCUAGUCCCAAGCUCUAAAACUUGAAAGUUAAACAGUUUUACGAGGGGUAAGACAGUGAUGACCGAGAUAGUACCGACCGAUAACAUUGGCGAAGCUAACAUUAC